rnacentral:misc_RNA from 1 species
UACAUAAAAUCGAAGUGUCGCUUUUGUGACAUUUUUCGGAAUUGGGUUAUCUUUAACCUUCAGGUUUAAGAGACUUGAAAUUUUGAUAAUUUUUUAUGCAUCCUUGACGUGUAUAAUUUAUUUAUCCGUUUCCGGGUGUCUACUUUUAUUAGGUAUGGUCAUGUUGUAUGAUAUCAUGCCUAUAAUUUUUCAUU